CGCCCCUUGAAAAGAGUACUUAAGGAUAAGGGGCUCUGCCUGCCCAGUGACAGUAGUUUAACGGCCGCGGUAUUUUGACCGUGCAAAGGUAGCAUAAUCAUUUGCCUUUUAAAUGGAGGCUGGAAUGAACGGCAAGACGAGAAUUUAACUGUCUCUCUUCUAGUUACCCAGAAAUUAAUAUUCUUGUGAAGAAGCGAGAAUGCAGUCGUGGGACGAGAAGACCCUAUUGAGCUUAAGCGAGGGUUUAGGUGCUAGUUUCUUAUUUUAGGCUAAUUAUUAAUUAAUAUAAGUUUACUUGGGGUAAGGAUAGCAUUAUACAUAAGUCGUUUUGGUUGGGGCAACCGCGGAGAAAAACCAACCUCCGCUGAGAAAAAAGGGAAGAUACUUCUUCAGAAUGGAAAUAAUUCUAUAAAAUGACCCACUUAAUAGUGAUCAAAGGAAAAAGUUACCAUAGGGAUAACAGCGUAAUUUUUUUGGAGAGUUCAUAUUGAUAAAAAAGUUUGCGACCUCGAUGUUGGAUCGGGACUUCCGGAGGGUGUAGCAGCUCUUAAGGGUUGGUCUGUUCGACCAUUAAAGUCCU
rnacentral:rRNA from 1 species